rnacentral:rRNA from 1 species
GACGAACCACACAAACGUUAUUCGGAAUUACUGGGCUUAAAGGGUGCGUAGGCGGCGCAGAAAGUAGGGUGUGAAAUCCCUGGGCUCAACCCAGGAACUGCACUCGAAACUUCCGGUCUAGAGUGGUGGAGAGGGAAGUGGAAUUCCUGGUGUAGAGGUGAAAUUCGUAGAUAUCAGGAGGAACACCAGUGGCGAAGGCGGCUUUCUGGACGGUAACUGACGCUGAGACGCGAAAGCGUGGGGAGCAAAUAGG